AUUGAACGCUGGCGGCAUGCCUUACACAUGCAAGUCGAACGGUAACAGGUCUUCGGAUGCUGACGAGUGGCGAACGGGUGAGUAAUACAUCGGAACGUGCCUAGUAGUGGGGGAUAACUACUCGAAAGAGUGGCUAAUACCGCAUGAGAUCUACGGAUGAAAGCAGGGGAUCGCAAGACCUUGUGCUACUAGAGCGGCCGAUGGCAGAUUAGGUAGUUGGUGGGAUAAAAGCUUACCAAGCCGACGAUCCGUAGCUGGUCUGAGAGGACGAUCAGCCACACUGGGACGGGGACACGGCCCAGACUCCUACGGGGGGCAGCAGUGGGGAAUUUUGGACAAUGGGCGCAAGCCUGAUCCAGCAAUGCCGCGUGCAGGAUGAAGGCCUUCGGGUUGUAAACUGCUUUUGUACGGAACGAAAAGCCCUGGGUUAAUACCCUGGGGUCAUGACGGUACCGUAAGAAUAAGCACCGGCUAACUACGUGCCAGCCGCCGCGGUAAGAC
rnacentral:rRNA from 1 species